rnacentral:rRNA from 1 species
UACGUAGGGGGCUAGCGUUGUCCGGAUUUAUUGGGCGUAAAGAGCGUGUAGGCGGCCAGGUAGGUCUGGUGUGAAAACUCGAGGCUUAACCUCGAGAUGUCAUCGGAAACCAUCUGGCUAGAGUCCGGAAGAGGAAAGUGGAAUUCCUGGUGUAGCGGUGAAAUGCGCAGAUAUCGGGAGGAACACCAAUUGCGAAGGCAGCUCGCUGGGACGUUACUGACGCUGAGGUGCGAAAGCGUGGGGAGCAAACAGG